rnacentral:rRNA from 1 species
UAGGGAAUCUUCCACAAUGGACGCAAGUCUGAUGGAGCAACGGCCGCGUGAGUGAAGAAGGUUUUCGGACCGUAAAGCUCUGUUGUUGGUGAAGAAGGAUAGAGGUAGUAACUGGCCUUUAUUUGACGGUAAUCAACCAGAAAGUCACGGCUAACUACGUGCCAGCAGCCGCGGUAAUACGUAGGUGGCAAGCGUUGUCCGGAUUUAUUGGGCGUAAAGCGAGCGCAGGCGGAAGAAUAAGUCUGAUGUGAAAGCCCUCGGCUUAACCGAGGAAUUGCAUCGGAAACUGUUUUUCUUGAGUGCAGAAGAGGAGAGUAGAACUCCAUGUGUAGCGGUGGAAUGCGUAGAUAUAUGGAAGAAUACCAGUGGCGAAGGCGGCUCUCUGGUCUGCAACUGACGCUGAGGCUCGAAAGCAUGGGUAGCGAACAGGAUUAGAUACCCUGGUAGUCCAUGCCGUAAACGAUGAGUGCUAAGUGUUGGGAGGCUUCCGCCUCUCAGUGCUGCAGCUAACGCAUUAAGCACUCCGCCUGGGGGAGUACGACCGCAAGGUUGAA